UCCCUGGGGCCGCGCACAGCGACAAGGGAGUUGUGAAGCGAACAGAACCAAAGCGCCCAGCUCUCCUGGGCUGACUUAGCGCCUUCGAUUCCUCCGCGUGCGGAGGGUGUAAUUAGUUUUAUUUAUUUUCUUUCCGACUCCGAAAGAUCACUCUCUUUUUCAAUAUAGAAGAAUAUGAUUCCCUCUCCCCUGGAAAGGCAUUAUCAGAACUGAUGGGGAUAUUUUUCUUUCUUUAUGUUUUGGAGAACACAAACCAAUAUUCCGCUUUUUCAUUAAUGCCUAGUUAGUCUACGAGUUCCUCUCCUCCAGAGCUGCUGUUGGACAAAAGAGGGCCCUGCUUCAUAGUCAGAGCAUUGUGAAAUUGCCUCAGUAAUUAAGGAUGUACAUGUGUGAAGGCAUCACCAGUGUUGUGCUUCCCAGCAUGCCCUAGCAUUCCUUCAAACAAGCAUUCACAGUAGCAGAAAGUCCAAGAAAAGGCUUGCUCCCUUGAGGAUCAAGAAGAAAGCAACAGCAAAGAAAGGACCAAUAGAAACAUGGAGAAUACGGAAAGCUGAUAAAGAGGAAAAUGAGAAAGUGGAGCUAAAAUAAAUUCCGCCACUGGAGGAGCAUAGUGGCCUGACAGCACCGAAGCAGGAAAUCCACUCCAAAAUUAAGACAGUGAACGAAAAGUGCAAUGCAAGGCUCUCCCUCUUGUACCAUUAACCAGUCUUAAUCUUGUCGUCAUGGGACCACUCCUAACGUGGGAGCAGUCAGCAUUCACUGCUUGGCCUCUGUGCUGAGGGGACCCAUCUGCCACUUGGAUGAAGAUGAUUUGCAUCAUGUGGACACCUAUAUUUCAUUUGCCUUCAUUUGCAUGCAGCAGCCUUCCUGAGUUCAGAGUUAUUUGAUGGCAGAGACAAAAGAAUAUGUCAUUACCCUGAAAUAAA